rnacentral:rRNA from 1 species
CGCCUCUUGCAAAAUCAACGAAUAAGAGGUCCCGCCUGCCCUGUGACUUCACGUUUAACGGCCGCGGUAUUUUGACCGUGCAAAGGUAGCGCAAUCACUUGUCUUUUAAAUGAAGACCCGUAUGAAUGGCAUAACGAGGGCUUAACUGUCUCCUCUUUCAAGUCAAUGAAAUUGAUCUCCCCGUGCAGAAGCGGGGAUAAGCACAUAAGACGAGAAGACCCUGUGGAGCUUUAGGCACUAAGACAGCACAUAAAAAUUUCCCCAGAUUAAUGGCCAAAACAACUUGUACCCUGUCCUAAUGCCUUCGGUUGGGGCGACCGCGGGGAAAUAAAAAACCCCCAUGCAGAAUGGGAGAACACCUCCUACAACCAAGAGCUACUGCUCUAAUUAACAGAACCUCUGACUACAGAAGAUCCGGCAAUGCCGAUUAACGGACCGAGUUACCCCAGGGAUAACAGCGCAAUCCCCUUUUAGAGCCCAUAUCGACAAGGGGGUUUACGACCUCGAUGUUGGAUCAGGACAUCCUAAUGGUGCAGCCGCUAUUAAGGGUUCGUUUGUUCAACGAUCAAAGUCCU